rnacentral:misc_RNA from 1 species
UUUAAAGAUAGUCUUGGAAACACCAGGUAAUUGCAAACCAAGAAACUAUGACAUUUGGUCAAUAGAUUAGACUAAAAACUGCUUAAGUUACAUAACUAACAGUUAUUAAGCAGUGAACAACAAAAAGAUUCCACAAAAACCUAUAGGUAAAUCAUUUCUUGUCCUUCCACAAAAACAUUAGCCAGACGGGAAAAUGCAGCUCUGCCUCCAUGAUCACAUUUGGAGAGGAUCUAUUGGCACCAACUUAAGAUGCUGUCCAGAUAUAUACCUGCCCACCACUUGUAGCCCCUGCAAGCAUUCCAACUUCUUUGCGAUGUGCAUCAAAACGGCAUGGAAUAGCAGUCAUGUGCUUGCUUCUUAAGGUAAAAUGAAGUUUCUUGUCAGGUACUGAGAGGAUACAUGGCGCCGGAGUUUCAGUGGACGGGAAUGGCGACGGUGAAG